rnacentral:rRNA from 1 species
GGGAGCCAGGACACAGGUGCUGCAUGGCUGUCGUCAGCUCGUGUCGUGAGAUGUUGGGUUAAGUCCCGCAACGAGCGCAACCCUUGUCACUAGUUGCCAUCAUUUGGUUGGGCACUCUAGUGAGACUGCCGGUGACAAACCGGAGGAAGGUGGGGAUGACGUCAAGUCCUCAUGGCCCUUAUGGGUAGGGCUUCACACGUCAUACAAUGGUCGGUACAGAGGGCAGCUACACCGCGAGGUGAUGCUAAUCUCUAAAGCCGGUCUCAGUUCGGAUCGAAGUCUGCAACCCGACUUCGUGAAGUUGGAUUCGCUAGUAAUCGCGCAUCAGCCAUGGCGCGGUGAAUACGUUCCCGGGCCUU